rnacentral:rRNA from 1 species
UACAGAGGUCUCAAGCGUUGUUCGGAAUCACUGGGCGUAAAGGGUGCGUAGGCGGCAGGGAAAGUCAGAUGUGAAAGCCCCAGGCUCAACCUGGGAAGUGCACCCGAUACUGCUUGGCUUGAGUAUCGGAGAGGUUGGUGGAAUUCUCGGUGUAGAGGUGAAAUUCGUAGAUAUCGAGAGGAACACCGGUGGCGAAGGCGGCCAACUGGACGAAUACUGACGCUGAGACACGAAAGCGUGGGGAGCAAACAGG